rnacentral:rRNA from 1 species
UACGGGAGGCAGCAGUGGGGAAUAUUGCACAAUGGGCGGAAGCCUGAUGCAGCGACGCCGCGUGAGGGAUGAAGGCCUUCGGGUUGUAAACCUCUUUCAGCAGGGACGAAGCGUGAGUGACGGUACCUGCAGAAGAAGCACCGGCUAACUACGUGCCAGCAGCCGCGGUAAUACGUAGGGUGCGAGCGUUGUCCGGAAUUACUGGGCGUAAAGAGUUCGUAGGCGGUUUGUCGCGUCGUUUGUGAAAACCCGGGGCUCAACUUCGGGCUUGCAGGCGAUACGGGCAGACUUGAGUGUUUCAGGGGAGACUGGAAUUCCUGGUGUAGCGGUGAAAUGCGCAGAUAUCAGGAGGAACACCGGUGGCGAAGGCGGGUCUCUGGGAAACAACUGACGCUGAGGAACGAAAGCGUGGGUAGCAAACAGGAUUAGAUACCCUGGUAGUCCACGCCGUAAACGGUGGGCGCUAGGUGUGGGUUCCUUCCACGGGAUCUGUGCCGUAGCUAACGCAUUAAGCG